AUGAAGAGGGAUGGGGACGUGAUCCCAGUGACACCAGCAGCGCUGGGCUGGCCCCAGGCUCCCGUGGUGCUGGUUUGGAGCCCAGCAGCAGCGAUGCUCAGGCUGGGGGGGGGGACAGGGAAGGGGGGACACAGAUUUCAGCAGCAUCCCUUCUCCCUUGCGCAACCCCGGCCGGCCCCUGGCAUCUCGGCGAGGCUCGGCCACUUCCCGGCACAGCGCGGCUGCUUCCAGCCUCCCGCAGAGCAGACACUGAGUCAGCAGGAGGAAGGGGCUCCAGCUGCUGCCACUGCACAAAACUGCUGUGUGUGUCCCCCCACACACACCACUAUGGGGACACGUGUCCCAGCCGUGCUCACGUGGGACCAGCAGCGCGGGGCUGGCCCCAGGCUCCCGUGGUGCUGGUUUGGAGCCCAGCAGCAGAGAUGCUCAGGCUGGGGGGGGACAGGGAGGGGGACACAGAUUUCAGCAGCAUCCCUUCUCCCUUGCGCAACCCCGGCCGGCCCCUGGCAUCUCGGCGAGGCUCGGCCACUUCCCGGCACAGCGCGGCUGCUUCCAGCCUCCCGCAGAGCAGACACUGAGUCAGCAGGAGGAAGGGGCUCCAGCUGCUGCCACUGCACAAAACUGCUGUGUGUCCCCCCACACACACCACUAUGGGGACACGUGUCCCAGCCGUGCUCACGUGGGGACCACGCUCCGCCACCAGCAGCUCCAUCGUGUCCCCACACCCAGCCGUGCUCACGUGGGGACCACGCUCCACCACCAGCAGCUCCAUCGCGUCCCCACAUCUUUGGGGGAAACUCACCGGGUGUAAGGGGGGGGGGACACAAGGCUGGGAUGGAUCAGGAUGGGCUCGCUGCGUCCCCUCUCCACAGAAUGUCACCUCCUCCCUAUGGUGAGGGGAUGAGGUCCCCAAAAUGGGGGCUGGCAGCAGGGCUGUCCCCCCACACACACCACUAUGGGGACACGUGUCCCAGCCGUGCUCACGUGGGGACCACGCUCCGCCACCAGCAGCUCCAUCGUGUCCCCACAUCUUUGGGGGAAACUCUCCGGGUGUAA
rnacentral:lncRNA from 1 species